rnacentral:rRNA from 1 species
CCAAAUGCUUUAACGUGCCAGGUCGUACGGCUGCACGGGCUUCGGUCUGGUGGCGAGUGGCGAACGGGUGACCCUUUAGCGGAGCGUAUGCAAGGAUGGGGGAUAACGAGUCGAAAGAUUCGCUAAUACCGCAUACGCCCUACGGGGGAAAGCUGGGGACCUUCGGGCCUGGCGUUAAUGGAGCGGCCGAUAUCUGAUUAGCUAGUUGGUGAGGUAAAGGCUCACCAAGGCGACGAUCAGUAGCUGGUCUGAGAGGACGACCAGCCACACUGGAACUGAGACACGGUCCAGACUCCUACGGGAGGCAGCAGUGGGGAAUAUUGGACAAUGGGCGAAAGCCUGAUCCAGCAACGCCGCGUGAGGGAUGACGGCCUUCGGGUUGUAAACCUCUUUCAGCGCCGACGAAGCGAAAGUGACGGUAGGGGUAGAAGAAGCACCGGCCAACUACGUGCCAGCAGCCGCGGUAAUA